UACGGGGGGGGCAAGCGUUGUUCGGAAUUACUGGGCGUAAAGGGCUCGUAGGCGGCCAACUAAGUCGGAUGUGAAAUCCCCAGGCUCAACUUGGGAACUGCAUCCGAUACUGGAUGGCUUGAAUUCGGGAGAGGGAUGCAGAAUUCCAGGUGUAGCGGUGAAAUGCGCAGAUAUCGGGAAGAGCACCCGUGGCUAAGGCGGCUCUCUAGUACGGUACUGACGCUGAGACGCGAAAGCGUGGGGAGCGAACAGG
rnacentral:rRNA from 1 species